rnacentral:rRNA from 1 species
UAAAAAAUUUGGCGGUAUUUUAGUCUAUUCAGAGGAACCUGUUUUAUAAUCGAUAAUCCACGAUGGACCUUACUUAAGUUUGUAUUAGUUUAUAUACCGUCGUUAUUAGAAUAUUUUAUAAGAAUGUUAAUUUUCAUAAUUUUAAAAAAGAAAAUAUAUCAGAUCAAGGUGUAGCUUAUAUUUAAGUAAAAAUGGGUUACAAUAAAUUUAUUUAAAUGGAUAUAAAUUUGAAAUUUUUAUUGAAAGUGGAUUUGAUAGUAAAAUUAUAAAGAUAAAUAAUUUGAUUUUAGCUCUAAAAUAUGUACACAUCGCCCGUCACUCUUAUUAUUAAGGUAAGAUAAGUCGUAACAUAGUAGAUGUACUGGAAAGUGUAUCUAGAAUGCAAUUUAAAGCUUAUUAAGUAAAGCAUUUCAUUUACAUUGAAAAGAUUUUUGUGCAAAUCAAUAUAAAUUGAUUAAAUUUUAUUUAUUAAUUUUUUUUUUAAAAAAAAGUAUUUUAUUAAAAAUAAUUAUAAAUUGUUUAGUUUUAGUAUUUUUUAAAGAAAAAAUAAAUUUAAUUAUAGUUGAAUAGUAUUGUUAAAGAAAAUUGAAAUAAUUUGAAAAAUUAUUAUU